GCCGGAAUGGCGGAACUGGCAGACGCCCGGGACUUAAAAUCCCGUGAUACUUUGUAUCGUACCGGUUCGAUCCCGGCUUCCGGCACCA
rnacentral:tRNA from 1 species